UUCCAAAGUGUUCAGUUCAGGGCAGUUUCCCUGUUCUGUUAAUUAAACCUGGGACAUUGGGACACAAGCUUAGGAGAGAUGAUUGGAUGGAAAGCAUUGCUCUAUUCAUUGACCUUCCAGCCUACAAAA